rnacentral:lncRNA from 7 species
GGUGGAAGGAGAAGGAAUAUUUUAAUGAAUUAUUCACCACCCCUUUCCUCUCUGGAAUGGACUAAGGAGUGGAGAUGUGAUAUUGACUCCUAAGAAAAGGAAGACCGAAUGUGCAGGAAAUAAUUUGAUGUUAACUUGCAGUCCUUUAUUCUAUCUGCUGGAUCAUGGCCUCUACCUGUGGGUGCAGUAUGGUUGCUUCAUACAAUCAAUACUUCAGUAAUUAGGAAGACAUACAAUGUACUGGAAAAUGGCCAUAUUUUCUCUGAGGAGGUUUUUAUCAAAGGAGUCACUGAAUUUAAUUCACAUCAUCUGAAAUGACUCUGAACACAGCCAGAAACUGAGUCCCCAGACACCUUCAUCUGCAGAGCUUCAGCAGUUAAUCUCAUCAUUCCUUGCAGCUUGAGUUAUGUCCACACAAAGAUGUCAGCGCUUGGCUUGUGAUAAGGUGCACUGAGGAAGCAAGAAGAGGUGCAGUUAUUGGCUGAUAAUAGGACUCUUGACAAUAUAUAAGUGUGGUUUGGCCAAAUGAAAUAUAUUCUAUGAGAAUGGGAUACUGUCCAGCACUUCAUGAAAAUGUUUUUGAAGUGCUAGUAGAUCUGCUCUAUAAGAUACCUAAAGCCUGUGCAAAGAAUGCUAAUCCCUUAUGACAUCCAGGAGAAAAAGAGAAGAAAUUUAACACUAGGAAUGUCUUAUGAGCUUGAGAGGAAAAACUAGUUUUUCCUCAUGUUUUCCCUUAGAUGUUAGAGUAGUCCAUGCUGCCUCCAUAUUAUUCCUCAAAUCUUCAGACUCAACCACUUCCCAGCACAGAAUCUGUCAUGCCAGCUGAAUCCAACAUCCACUUUGUCAUGCGGAGUCCCACCUAAAAGGGCUCACUGAGGUGUACUGAUGGAUGAUAUUCUUUCACGGGGUUGUGAGGCCUAUAAUACACUCAGUUUUGUUUUUUAUUUGUUUGUUUGUUUUUGUCAGUGUAGCCAUAGCUUGCAUGCGUCCUGAUGACGCAUUAAGAAUGGCUCAUGUUUAAACAAGUCAUGUCAGAUCCCUGAAAAGAUGUGUAAUUGCAUAUUCUUUGUGAAGCCAAGCCUAUAGGGAGCCAGAGAUCAUGGAGGCAACAAACUGCAGGAAAACCUGCAUUUUAGUUCUGGAAGGAGGAUGCUUUUCCCUGAGGACCAGUGAUUCCAUUCAAGAGAGCAAAGAUUUUAUUUCUUCUUGCCCCUUUCAAAUUAAAUUAGUAAAUUUGAAUUCGGGUUACAUCAGAUUGUUAAUACAUUCAGAUAGCUGCUUUCUCAAGACUGGAACCACUAUCAGUGAAAAGUGAAGGGAAGUUUCAUGCAUACAGUGAAAGAUUUUGUUUCAUAAAAAAAGAAUAGAACAAUGAAAAAUGGCUCCAAAUAUUGCAAUUAUUCUACACAACCUGUGUUUAUAAAAAUAUAGGGGAUCUGCAAUACAGUCAGUAAUAUGAGGCUUCUCUCUCCAGCUAGAAUAAACUGAGCAACAUACAGCCUCUUCUGUAUCUGUUACACUGGCAUAACUUCAUUGACUGCAGCAAUUAUUCCUGAUUGACGUCUAAGUGAAUUAGAAACGUGUGCUGCACAUGAAUUACUCCGUUGUGCUGAGCAACAAACUUGGAAGGCCUUCCUUUGCAUCCCACGGACCUUUUUGUUGUCUACUGAAUGGCUUUAGACCACAGCCUGAAUCUCUAAAAUCCCAUAUGUGCUGUCAUAUCAGUUGUAGCAUGUAAUCAACUCUAUUUCAUAUCUGAGACAUCUCAUCUUAUUUUGCAAAGAAGUGUAUAAGUAGAUAGAUCAUGGCCACUUUUUUUUUUUAACCUUGCUUGACUUUCUGAACGUGUUCAGCCCCUGUAAAUAUCUGAAAAUGGUCAUCGUGGGCAGGCGGUCACAGCCCCACAUCUGUGAAUAUGGUGUGUUGUGAUCCAGUCAGCUGAGACAUGUAAAGCUUUUUUGCUCUGGGACUGACUUGUCCACAGUUAGACAACUACAUACCCAUAAGCUGUGUGUUCCUGUGUCUAUGCAGAAAAG